GACGAACGCUGGCGGCGUGCCUAAUACAUGCAAGUAGAACGCUGAAGAGAGGAGCUUGCUCUUCUUGGAUGAGUUGCGAACGGGUGAGUAACGCGUAGGUAACCUGCCUUGUAGCGGGGGAUAACUAUUGGAAACGAUAGCUAAUACCGCAUAACAAUGGAUGACACAUGUCAUUUAUUUGAAAGGGGCAAUUGCUCCACUACAAGAUGGACCUGCGUUGUAUUAGCUAGUAGGUGAGGUAAUGGCUCACCUAGGCGACGAUACAUAGCCGACCUGAGAGGGUGAUCGGCCACACUGGGACUGAGACACGGCCCAGACUCCUACGGGAGGCAGCAGUAGGGAAUCUUCGGCAAUGGGGGCAACCCUGACCGAGCAACGCCGCGUGAGUGAAGAAGGUUUUCGGAUCGUAAAGCUCUGUUGUAAGUCAAGAACGGGUGUGAGAGUGGAAAGUUCACACUGUGACGGUAGCUUACCAGAAAGGGACGGCUAACUACGUGCCAGCAGCCGCGGUAAUACGUAGGUCCCGAGCGUUGUCCGGAUUUAUUGGGCGUAAAGCGAGCGCAGGCGGUUUGAUAAGUCUGAAGUUAAAGGCUGUGGCUCAACCAUAGUUCGCUUUGGAAACUGUCAAACUUGAGUGCAGAAGGGGAGAGUGGAAUUCCAUGUGUAGCGGUGAAAUGCGUAGAUAUAUGGAGGAACACCGGUGGCGAAAGCGGCUCUCUGGUCUGUAACUGACGCUGAGGCUCGAAAGCGUGGGGAGCGAACAGGAUUAGAUACCCUGGUAGUCCACGCCGUAAACGAUGAGUGCUAGGUGUUGGAUCCUUUCCGGGAUUCAGUGCCGCAGCUAACGCAUUAAGCACUCCGCCUGGGGAGUACGACCGCAAGGUUGAAACUCAAAGGAAUUGACGGGGGCCCGCACAAGCGGUGGAGCAUGUGGUUUAAUUCGAAGCAACGCGAAGAACCUUACCAGGUCUUGACAUCCCGAUGCUAUUUCUAGAGAUAGAAAGUUACUUCGGUACAUCGGUGACAGGUGGUGCAUGGUUGUCGUCAGCUCGUGUCGUGAGAUGUUGGGUUAAGUCCCGCAACGAGCGCAACCCCUAUUGUUAGUUGCCAUCAUUCAGUUGGGCACUCUAGCGAGACUGCCGGUAAUAAACCGGAGGAAGGUGGGGAUGACGUCAAAUCAUCAUGCCCCUUAUGACCUGGGCUACACACGUGCUACAAUGGUUGGUACAACGAGUUGCGAGUCGGUGACGGCGAGCUAAUCUCUUAAAGCCAAUCUCAGUUCGGAUUGUAGGCUGCAACUCGCCUACAUGAAGUCGGAAUCGCUAGUAAUCGCGGAUCAGCACGCCGCGGUGAAUACGUUCCCGGGCCUUGUACACACCGCCCGUCACACCACGAGAGUUUGUAACACCCGAAGUCGGUGAGGUAACCUUUUGGAGCCAGCCGCCUAAGGUGGGACAGAUGAUUGGGGUGAAGUCGUAACAAGGUAGCCGUAUCGGAAGG
rnacentral:rRNA from 1 species